rnacentral:lncRNA from 1 species
AAUUACAGGUCAGAAACUGACAAGCACUGUAUUUCCCGUAUCUUGUUUCAUCUUCCCAGCAGUCCUGUAAGGAAGGUCUCUACCACUAACUCCAUUUACGGGUGAGCAGGCAGAAGCACAGGAGGACAGCUAACUCUCCCCAGUCGCCCAGCUGGGAAGCAGUGGAGCUGGACUAGAAUCCAGGUUCUGACUCCAGAGUUGCCGUUCUCCCAACGCCUCUCACGAGACAGACCCCUUGCUCAAACAGCAGCAGGUCUCUAGCCAUAGGAAUUGGGCUUGGACCCAAAUGAGACCGGAUGUUGGUGGUUCAGGCCGGCCUUUCUCGCCCGGUCCCAGAACACGCGGAGACUCCUCUUUGAAAACUCCACCUCCUCCUUCCGUGACUCUUCCUUCCCGUCUGACUCUCCCCCCCGCCGCCCCCACGUCUGCUCGUGGUUCCCGAGCACCACACUCACAUUUAGCUGAACAGUUCUAUCCCUCCAUGAACACGGAGAGGUCGGCAAAAGCGUCCUGGCUGAGAGGCAGCUCCCUGAGGCCAGUAUGACACCGGCACCGCCCCAGGGUGAGUUCUCCACCAGAGCUGGGGGACCUGCGGUGGACCUGGCACAGGGAAAUCAAAGACAGUGACACACGCACAUCAUAUCACAAGUCAGGAACUAGUUCAGGUCUGAGGAGAAAUGAAAACUCAGGACAGGGGUUAACCUUGUCCUGUUGUUUAAGGACUAUCAUGUCCAGACUGAGCAGAACCAGGAAAACAAUGGGUGGAACUGACAGAGAACUGGGUUUUGGGCCCAAGAGGCUCAGGGAGGCAGGCAGAGGGACUCUCCCAGGCCCUGACCUCCAGGAUUUGUUUCUGCUGCUCUGUGAUUUUGUUGCCAAAAUUGAUGAGUCUCUUAUUAAAAACUCUAAUAUGUGCAAUGUUAACUGGAAACAAUUUUCCCCGUUUCUUUAAAAAACUUCCAAACGAAGAGGGUUGAGUGGAUUCCGAAGCUAUCCUUACAAGAUUCAACCUUCCGAUUAAGGGGCAAGACCUGACUGACAUCAGGGACAAUGCACAUUUAACAGCCCAAGUUAAAUGAAAACUUUUGCAUAAUUAGCGGGCAUGAUUCAAAAAUGAAGCUCAUGACUUUGAACUGCAGCCAAUGAUUUAUUUCUUCCACUUAGAUCUAUACACUUUUGUGAAAAUAACAUUUUUAUCUACAAAAGUCAUUAAAACUAAGCACCUGGGAGCUCUCUCAUGGCACAACGGGUCAGGGAUCCAGCGCUGUCACUGCAGAGGCUUGGGUUGCUGCUGAGGUGCGGGUUAGACCCCAGGAAAUUCCGUGUGCCACAGGCACAGCCAAAAAUAAUAAAAAUAAAAAAAGCACUAAAAUUAACCAAAUCGCCAUACCUAGUUAGCCUAGCCCAAAGUAUUUUUUAAUAAAAUGAAGCAUAUUUAAUCUCACGGCUCUCAGUGCAAGUAUUAUUCAUACUUGGCACUAAAAUUAACCAAAUUGCCAUACCUACCUCGCCCAAAGUAUUUUUAAAUAAAAUGAAGCAUAUUUAAUCUCAUGGCUCUCAGUGCAAGUAUUAUUCCUAUUUUGCACUAAAAUUAACCAAAUCGCCAUACCCAGUUAGCCUCGCCCAAAGUAUUUUUAAAUAAAAUGAAGCAUAUUUAAUCUCAUGGCUCUUAAUGCAAAUAUUAUUCCUAUUUUGCACUAAAAUUAACCAAAUCGCCAUACCCAGUUAGCCUCACCCAAAGUAUUUUUAAAUAAAAUGAAGCAUAUUUAAUCUCAUGGCUCUCAAUGCAAAUAUUAUUCAUAUUUUGCAGGGGAUUUUGUGCCAAAGAACUUUUUUUCAUGUUUUCAUAUUUACAGUCCCUAGAUUUUCUAAUGUCGUAUUUUUAUAGAUUAUGCAGAAAUACUACAGAUAUUCUGUAACUUAUCAACAGAGUAAAUACACUGUAAUAUAGUAUACAAUACGGUGUAAAACUCACAAACAGCUUCGUGAUGUUGAGGCAGCAUGACAGGGGCUGCUAGGGCACCGUGCCAGUGUACACAGUGAACAGCACAAUCCUGUUCCACGAGUCACAUGUAAUAAGGACAAGAGCCACGGCUGGCUUUCAGACCAAGGGCUUUGGGGAGACAGAUUAGGGCAAGCACGGACGGGGUUUCUAUGAUUACUGCUUUCUAAAAACCACCUCAGUAAUUCUGUAAGCACACUUCCUUUGUAAAGGAAAAGAUUUACCACAUGGAAGAAAAACAAAGUAAAAGGUAAACGUUCCCCUUUAUGCAAGAAAUUUUUCAUUUUGAUUUUAAAAAAAUUAGGUGCUAAAUUUUAAAAAGAACUUAUCUAUCAUAAAACUUUUUCCUAAAAUAUUUAGAGUUCAUUUAUAGUACAAACCAACAAAACAUAUAGGGAACUGGUAGACUUUGAAAAGUAUGGAAAAGAUGUUUUCAUUGUUUAAUAACGCCACACUAAAAAAUUCAGGCAGAAAAUGUUUUCAUUAAGAAUAGGAACUAAGGAGUUCCCGUUGUGGCACAGUGGUUAACGAAUCCGACUAGGAACCAUGAGGUUGCAGGUUCACUCCCUGGCCUUGCUCAGUGGGUUGAGGAUCCGGCGUUGCCGCGAGCUGUGGUGUGGGUUGCAGACACGGCUUGGAUGCCUCGUUGCUGUGGCUGUGGCGCAGGCCAGUGGCUACAGCUCCGAUUAGACCCCUAGCCUGGGAACCUCCAUAUGCUGCAAGAGUGGCCCCAAAAAAGGCAAAAAGACAAAAAAAAAAAAAAGAAUAGGAACUAAAUGGAGCUCCCACAGUGGCACAGCGGAGAUGACUCCCACUAGAAACCAUGAUGAUGCACGUUCAAUCCCUGGCCUCCCUCAGCGGGUUAAGGAUCUGGCGUUGUUGUGGCUGCGGUGUAGGCUCCGAAUGGACCCUGAGUCUGGGAAUGUCCAUACAUCGUGGGUGUGGCCCUAAAAAGCAAAAAAAAAAAAACAAAAAAAACCAAAACAGAAUAGGAACUAAAGAGGUUGUUUCUUGUAAGCAGAAAAUACCCAUUUCCUACAAUUCCC